rnacentral:lncRNA from 1 species
GUUUAUGAGGUCGUCUGGGCGGCGGGUAGCGGGGUGGGACUCCGCGUCGGGGAGAGGCAGCCUGCGCAGGGCCGAGGGGCGGCCGGGAGCCGGGCUCCGGGAUUGCUGCGGGGGACGGCAGUUGCGCCACAGCGUCGGUGUCCUCGUACCGGCGCCGUGCCCUUGGAACGAGGGCAGGACCGCGGGCAGCGCCGGGCCAGCGCGGAGCCCCUCCACGCUGCUGCGCUCCUGCGUCCCUGGCCCUCGGGCCAGGUGGGGAUAAUUUCUCGGCCCCCAGCGGCUGCGUUUCGGGCGUGGGCGAUGCGCCCUUUUCGGUGGGACGCAGCUGACUUGACCGUCUGGGAGAAGCAGUGCAAGGAAAUUGAUCUAGGGCUGCGCCUACUCUUCCUUCCCUCUCCCAGCAGGGUGGUUGCUUACCGGCUUGUGCCAGGCGGUUUGGUUUUGGCGGGGAUGCGGCAGAGGAGGCCCUUUGAGCCGCCCGAGGCCGGGGCGAGUUCAGAAUUGGAGAAGUCAGUCUGGUUCCCCAGUGUGAUCUUGGAGUGACAAGAGUUGGCCAUGUGCCCUCAAGUCACUGCAUCUCAGGCCUGCCCUCUCUGCCGCCAGGGUCGAUGGAAGUCCUGGGAAACCCAAAGGCUACAGGUGUUGGAAAUUUGUAGAUUUAAGGGCUCACACAGGCAACGGUUAGCGCUCAGGGAUUUUCCAGCGGCGCUUUUGACGCUGCCUUCCAUCUCCGGGCCCAGUGCUCCCCUGCCCCGCGCUGAGCUGUCUCCCACUCGCUACCGGCGAUGGGGAAGGGACAUCUGGGGAGAGGACAGGGGACGCCCUUAGUUUUUGAAGGCUGUGGAAGGACCCAUGAGUUUCACAGGUGUAACUUGAAGUUGGAAAGCGAGGGCCAAAGAACUGGUCUAUAUCUCUCCCUUUAGCCUCUUGCCACAUUUUAUACUAGAACGAUCUACAGAAGCGAUUUGAAGAGAAGGGUAGGUUUCAGCGCCAUAAUAAAAAUGAACACGUGUUUUCCCCGUGUACACAGAAAGGGUUGGGGGAGAUACUUUUCAGGAGCCUGGAGAAGGCGAAGUGGGGAGAGGGCAAAAACUGACGAAGAAUUGGGAAAUACUUUUUUUUUUUUUUUGAGACUGAGUCCCACUCUGUCGCCCAGGCUGGAGUGCUGUGGCCCCAUCUCGACUCACUGCAACCUCCGCUUCCCGCGAUUCUUGUGGCUCAGCCUCCGGAGUAACUGGAAUUAAAGGCGCCCACCACCACCCUCAGCUAAUUUUUGUAUUUUUAGUAGAGACGGGAGUUUUACCAUGUUGGCCAGGCUGGUCUCAAACUCCUGACCUCAAGUGAUCUGCCCAACUUGGCCUCUCAAAGUAUUGGGAUUACAGGCGUGAGUCACUGUGCCCGGCCGGGAAGUAGACGUAUUUUGUCAUUUUCUCAGAUCUCGGGGCACGGAGCACCUAUACAGGUUGAUAGUCAACGAAUUCAAAGAUUGCAAAUCUCUCUCUAGCGAACUAUUUCAUGGGGCUGGUGGGUUUCAGGAACGGGGUGAUUUGGUACUGGGCUUCUCCAGCCAGCCAUUUCUAGUGGACACAUUUAUGUAUUUUAAUGAGUUCAAAUUGGUAGAUAGUUCUCCCUUAACCAUAGGCUUAUUUCCCUCACUUGGGACUAGAGUGCGGGAAAAGGGCACCUUGGUGGCUUCCAGGUGCCUACAGUAGUUCACCACAACAGCCUCUGAGUCCUGGACUGUGCUUGACAGAUCGAGGCAACACCUCCAACCCAUAGAGAACAUAGCCUUUUAGAUCUUGUUUUUAAAGAGGAAAGGCAAGGAGGGGUCACUCAAGACCACAUCAACCUAAGAAGACAUGGACACAUGGGAGGAACAGCACAGACUGGGGCGUGUCAGAGGGUGAGGGGUGGGAGGAGGGAGAGCAUCAGGAACAAUAGCUAACGGAUGCUGGGCUUAAUACCUAGGUGAUGGGAUGAUCUGUGCAGUGGACCACCAUGGUACACAUUUACCUAUGUAACAAACCUGCACAUCCUGCACAUGUACCCCUGAGCUUAAAUGUUAGAAAUUCCAUCAACCAUGUUAUAUAGCUCCUUCCUCUUGGCCAGACUGCACCCUAUAAGUGAAGGAUCCCCAGGCUAACACAAACAGCUGGCAUUGAGUCUGGGAUUUUUUUUUUUUCUUUAGACAAUCUCACUCUGUUGCGCAGGUUGGAGCGGAGUGGCACGAUCUUGGCGCACUGCAACCUCCACGUCCCGGGUUCAAGCUAUUCCCCUGCCUCAGCCUCCCAAGUAGCUAGGACUACAGAUGUGCACCACCAUGCCCGGCUAAUUUUUGUAUUUUUAGUAGAGAUGGAGUUUUGCCAUGUUGGCCAGGCUGGUCUGGAACUCCUGGCCUCAUGUGAUCCACCCACCUGGGCUUCCCAGAGUGCUGGGAUUAUACGCAUAAGCCACCGCACCUUGCCAAGUCCGGGAUUUUGGCAGUGUCUGAGAUACACCAAAAACUCAUUAUAAUAACUCUCAAAAGGGUUGCACCCAGCCUUGCUUAGAGCAGAGCCGGGUGGCCUGAGAUUUCUUCCAGGACUCAGCUCAAUAACCUUUGCAGGAAGGAGCUGAGAGUGUAAACCAGAUGCAGGCUGUGGCUAGGGUGCAUCCAAUUUUACUUUUUAGAGCCUGUGGAGAACUAGAGGAGAAAAACUUUGAAAGGUGAUGCUGGGGCAGUGAGUGGGGGAUGGGGAGCUGGGUCCCCGGAUUCAGAGGGGUGUCUUUAGAGACACUGAUGUUGUGGCCACAGAGGGCAGCAGAGGACACCGGUAGGCAAAGCUCCCAAGCUGCUUAAAAUAGGAGCAAACUGCCCACCUCCCAGCAAAUCUCCCUACCUGCCCCCCAACCCUGUAUUGGAUGGUUUGGGAACAAAAGCUGUGGCACCAGUGAAACACCUAUUUGUUUUGACAAGGGACAAAUCUGAUUCUCUUGCUUCCUCUUUUCUUUGUAGGGUGUGCCCUCAGGAGGAUGGGAUAGAGAUAAAGUGUGAACUUACAAACCUGGCAGAGAGCAGGCACCUGGGAUGCAGUGGGCUGGUGGAAGAAAGAUGGCCUCAGUACUCCCAUCGAAGUAACAGUAUGUUCCAGGAUGCAGUUGGAAAUUAGGUUGGAAUGGAUGGGAUCUAACAGGAACAGCUCUUGGAAGGAUGGGCUAUCUCAUUAGUACCUUACAACUUCCAAUGCAUUGUCACAUAUUGGAGUUGGGACCAGGGUGAGGCAAAAGAGGCCUUUAAGAGUCAUGCAAGUACACUGGCCUCUGUCCUGCCACAUGCCUUAUCUCACGUAAUACCCAUCUGACCCUUGUCUGGCUAUUUAGUUGGUUUCGGGGUGGAGAGAGCAGGGGAGGUAAGGAGCAGAGAUGGGAGAGAGGACAAGCUGGCAGAGACUCUUUCUCUAUGAAAAGCCUUGCCUGAGUCACUCCUUCCCUCACACUUGCAUGUUACUCCAUCCAAACGAAACCAGCCCCUUUUGUGACUUCACAAAAUCUAUACUCACACUCCCUGUCACUGAACUCCAGGUCCAGAAAACUAUGCCCCCUGUGUUUGGCUUUAGGCCAAUGUCGUGAGAUAUUCCACACAGACAUGUGCUGUAUCUUCUUUUAAAUGUUGUGACUUUUGACCCCACAAAUCUAGAAUUUGUCAUCUUUCAAAAAGAGUUCUGUGAUUUCUUUUUUUUUUUUUUUUUUUUUUUGAGGCAAGAGUCAAACUUUUUUUCCUCCUUGAAUUCCUAAGUGCUUGCUGGUAAGAAGGAUGCAGUUUUAAAGAACCCCAGCUUCUCCAUUCCUCACACCUGUAUACUGAUGACUUGGAGACUAACAUCUUCCAUUGCUAGGCUUAGGAAUGAAGUUUUGCCUCUGAAGGGAGUUGUGCAUUUGUAACUGUCAUUCAACCAAUGGUGAAAGAGUCACUGGUCCAGGGCCAAUGUGCUCUGCUGCCUCCGGGAAAGCAUAAGACAUCAGUCUGUGGAAGAGGGCACUGGUGGUUUCCUUCCCUCCAAGAGGACAUAGUUCAGUUGGGUACAUACUGCAUUUCCCAGAUUUUGAAUACACACGUUUUAAGGCUUCCAAAAUCAGGUAUCUUUUGACAUGGUAAUUCCUUUUCCUCCCCCAAUUUUUAAUUUGGUAAAUAUGUACAAUUUAUAUGCUCUUAACAUUUUUAAAUUUGAAAAUCGAGAGCAAAAUCUUAUAGCCUAAACAACAGGAGUGGUAAGAAUUUGGUGGUGGUGAACAACCAGAAAAUCUGGAGUCCCAGCCAUGUCCACUGCUAGGACCCAGAGAAGCCUAGCCUGGACUGGCCCAGCUGCCGGGCUGAUGAGUGUGACCUCUGAGGUGAUAAAAUAACACCCAUGUGGGAGGAAUGGCCAAUAAGAAGGACAUGCCAGCCCCACCUUAGAAAAAGGCAUGAGUAGAAAUGAAGGUGCUAUAUCACUAAAAAUGAUGACAUUGGGCCCCAAGCAUCCGAUUUUCUCUGGCACCUGGCUAAGACAGGCAUAGAGGACAGGGCCGGUUGGGGUGUAGUCAGAGACACCCUCCCUAUUCUGUGGCAUUGCUUUGGCCUGUAGCAAAGUGUUAAAAUGGGACUCUUCCUACUUCAGUUUCAACUGAGUUCCCAAGACAAUCAAUGCCAGCUACUCCCACUUCCAAAAUGCGGAACACAAGAGCUCCUUGAAAAUGAUUUUGUGUACCUUCUCCAGCCACUGUCCACCUCAAGGAAAGUGCAUGGAUUGAUACAGAAGAGGACUCAAAGUUGGAGUUCUAGGAUUGAGUUGUCAACAUUGUGAUCAGUUUUCCUCCCCAUACCAUGGAGAGAGGACAUGCCUUGCUCCUGUCUCUUAAGUCCAGUGACUAGGGCUUACCUGAGACCACACACAGAGCUUGAUAUCUGUCCCUGGAGCUUGUGGAACACAGGAGACUGCCCACUGGUGAGCAGCUGGCUGAAGAGGCCUAUUGUAGAGGACAUUUCCAUUUGGAAGUCACUCCCUCUUGCCUAUAUCAUGGCAAGGGAGUGUGUGGCAGAUUGAGUUUCCUGGAAGAUGACUCUGAGGGGGAAGAUUAGCAUGAGGAAGGUUUAUUAGAGUGCUCUUGGGAUAGCACCCAGAGGAGGAAAGGAGAAGAAGCAGGAUCAGAGAGAAGUGGACCCCCACUGCCCGGAUCUGAAGCUGGGAUGGCCCUUCAGAGUUGUCCCAAGGCAGAGUCAAGGGGCCUUUCUACCCCUGCCAUAGAUUGGUCAUUGUUCCUGGCUGACCUUGGGGAAAGGCUGUGACCUUGAGCAACAGCAUCUGGGGGAAUGUGUCCUUCAUUCCUAAGGGGAGAUCUGGGCAGGGAUCACAGGGUCCAGUAUGGCAUAUGGCAUGCAGGUACCAGAUGUGGAAACUGCAAGAAGAAUAACCACCUAGGGCCAGGCACAGUGGCUCACAUCUGUAAUCCCAGCACUUUGGGAGGCUGAGGCAGGCAGAUAACUUGAGGUCAGGAGUUCGAGACCAGCCUGGCCAACAUGGUGAAACCCUGUUUCUACUAAAAAUACAAAAAUCAGCCAGACAUGGUGGUGGGUGCCUGUAAUCCCAGCUACUCAGGAGGCUGAAGCAGGAGAAUCACUUGAACCUGGGAGGCAGAGGUUGCAGUGAGCCGAGAUCACACCACUGCACUCCAGCCUGGGCAACAGAGACUCCACCUCAAAAAAAAAAAAAAAAAAAGAAUAACCACCUAGAAUUAAAGGAAAAAAAAAUUUAGAGAUGAGGGUCUUGCUAUGUUGCCCAGGCUGGAGUGCAGUGGCUAUUCACAGGUGUGAUCAUGGCACAUUGUAGCCUUGAACUCCUGGGCUCAAGAACUUCUCCUGCUUCAGCCUCCCAAGUAGCCACUGUGCCCAGCAAUUUUUAAGGGGACUCUGUCCACAUGGGCUUCUUCAAAAAGACCUUGGCAGAAAAAGGUGGAGGCCCAACUGGAGAUAGAGGCUGAAGGAGGACCAUAAGUGACCAGCUGAAGGAGAGGCCCCUUUGGACUCUUGAAGACUGCAGUCCCAGGGGACCAAGAGGGUUCCAUACAAGGUGACAAAGGUACCAAAGAGGGAAGCACCAGCCAUGGCCAGGGAAGGUCAAAGAGAUACUUCAUCCAUGCUAGAAACAAAGGAUGGAAGGAGGAUGGAAGGAGGGAGAAAAAGAAGGAGGGAGGAAGGAAGGGAAGGAUCAAGGGAAGGAGAGAAGGAAGGAAGGAAGGAAGGCAGACAGAGAGGCAUCUCCUACUCCUUGUUUUUUAUUCUCCCUCCUACUCUACAGGGGCCAAGGUGAGGCUAGUAAGGGGAUGGGGUAGAGGUGCUAAAUGGGAAAAUGUCUUGGCGUCCUCAAUGCCUAGCAGGGAACCUGGCAUAAAAUGGACACUCAAAAAAUAAUAUACGAAGAAUGAGGAAAAUCUUUGCCCCUUUAUGAUUCCCAGUGACUGUGUAAGGGCCUUCUAUAUCUGCAUCAUUCUGGGGACUGAAUGUGGGUCCUUCCAAAGUCAUGGUGUUAUAGAACAGUGAUACAGGGGUGAUGUCUAAAGCACACACUGAAGUAUCCCCAGACGCACCUGCACAUACACACAUGUACAUGCUCAUGUACCUACCUGGUGCCAAGCUCAGAAAUAGGGUUCUACACAAACCUCACUGGAAACUUUUCAUUUCUCUUCAGUGCAUACCUCAGUCUUUGCCCUUUGAAGAAAACCAGGGAUGCAAUGCUGAGAAUGUGACUGUAAAUACUUCAGAUUUUAAACUCCGAGGAUUUUCUCUUGGUCUCCUCAGAGGGUUGUAGUCUGUGGUGUAUGGAUCCUGGGGUUUCAAGGCCAUCUGGCCCCUGUGUGCUCAAUGAUCUACCCCAGUGGAAGGAAGACGAGAAACAGACAUUUCAAAACCUUUAGGCAAUGGGUCUUGGCCUGAGACAGAGUUUCACUUUGUCGCCCAGGCUGGAGUGCAGUGGCGCAAUCUCCACUCACUGCAACCUCCGCCUCCUGGGUUCAAGUGAUUCUUGUGCCUCAGCCUCUUGAGUAGCAGGGAUUACAGGCACGCACCACCAUACCUGGCUAACUUUUUGUAUUUUUAGUAGAGGCAGGGUUUCACCAUGUUGGCCAGGCUGGUCUCGAAAUCUUGGCCUCAAGUGAUCCACCCACCUCAGCCUCCCAAAGUGCUGGGAUUACAGAUGUGAGCCGCCGCACCCAGCCAGCAUGCCCUAUCUUAAUUGUUAAUUUUCUAUGAUAGCAGAUUAGCUCUCCUAAUUACUUCUAUCUUAGGCUAGAUUAAAAUGCAUCCUGAUCAGAUAGUAAUUUAUGGUGAAGAGAUGCCUUCUGGCCUAAAAACAUGCCAGGGGUAAAUCUCUAAGUAGAUGACCUCAAGGCAGAGAACCCAGAGUGCACUGUGUAUGAAAGAAUUACGGAGUGAAGUUCAUGUGCCCAAGGUUUUAAAGAAUAAUUAAGAGCCUAAUUAUAAGAGUACUGAAAAGAGCCAUACACAAUUCCAAGUUAGCUUUGCCUGUUAAGAGUAGAAAGCUCAUUUUAUAAGUAAUAAAACGAUGGUGUUUACACAAUGCAGCUUUCCAAUUUCCUUUUCAAAUUCCACUGUGCUUGAGGCACCAUCCCCUUUGACUGCAUGCAUUCUGAUCUUUGUUGAAUUAAUUUCAUCUAGUAAUUCUUCUACUCAUUGGCAUCUAUUGACUGUCCAGUCCAUAUGCAUGGAUGUGGUUGAAACUCAGCUGAGAAAGAUGAAUGACACACGGCUCUACCCUCUAAAGCUCACUCUCUCCUAUUGGAGACAGACUUCUAAACAAAAUACUACACCUCCAAAGAGAAAACCCCAUUUUUCUGGGAGCUCAGAAUGGGAAAUGACUCUGCCUGGGGAUGGAGGUGGGAGGGAGGAGAACUUAGGGAAGGCUUCUAGAAAAGGUGACAUUUUGGCUGCAGCUUGAGGGGUGACCAGGAGUUUGCUAGUUAGAACAGGGAAGGAAGAGCAUUCUGGGUUGAGAAUUGGGACAGAGUCUUCUCUGAUAAUUCGCAAAGCAAAUGUCAGGUCAUACAGGAGCAACUCAAAAGACCUUUUGCAGAGAUUUAGUUAUUAUUGCCCAUGCUAGACUAUCAACUGCUUCUGACUUUGUGCAGUACUUAGACCACCUAAGUUAGUGCCUGAUAGGGUAUUUUGAGGAUGACAGUAAUGCCUAUGCUAGAGAUGAGUGGGAUAUGACCCUCAUCUUUUAGUCAUGACAUUCCAGCUCUCCUACCUUGGGUUUGUUCCUAAUAAUUAAGUGGCCAUCACAGCAGUAGUGAGUAUUCUUCUGCAAACUCCAGGAGCAUCUGUGGAACCGAGUGCAGAUGCCUUUGACCUGUGCAGCAGUUGACUCAGGUUACCAGGCACCUUUUUCAAGUUCUUCCCAAGAAGAUGUAUCUUUCUUGUUCAGCCUAAUUUUUAUAAAACUUUAAUGUUCUCUUAAAACUGAAAUUUUGCACAGUAGGCAUUAGCAUCAGAGCAACAUUCCCAUGAGUUCUGGAAUCUCCUGGAGUACAUUACUCUAAGCAAAGAGCCAAUUAUUGCAGCCCUGAAGUUGGAGGGGACACUGAUUAGUAUCUGUGGCCUAGAAGUACAGAUGGAUGGCUGUGGAGGCCACAGCAUCUUGAGGAUUUUUUUUUUUUUGAAACGGAGUCUCAUUCUGUCGCCCAGGCUGGAGUAUAGUGGCGUGAUCUCUGCUCAACGCAGAGGAUGUUAAAUGGAGUCAAAAGCAAAUCAGACUCCCUCAUGGCCCAACUCAGGAGUUAUUCUUAGGCAUAGGGAACAUUAGAGAGACCUCUAGAGUUGGGAAGAGUGGGCCUAGUGGGGAGUCCUUGGGCCCUGCAAGUUUCCACUCAAUUUCUCACCCUGGGCACUGCCUCCACCUGUUCUCUGUACCUAUUCCUUCUCUUCUAUUUCUCCUCUACAAUUCUUCUUUUAUUUCCCCAUUCCUCUUUCUCGUAAAUAUAUCUUUUUUUUCCCAGAAGUUUCUACUGAGUUUGAAGGUUUCAAUGACCAUGUUGAUUACAGAGAUAGGAAGGCUAUUUCCAUCACUGUCUUUGGAUGAGAGACAGCAGAGGCUCCUCUCUGCAGGCCUGGCCAGACUGCUUAUGAGGAGCUGGAGGGAAAGAUGAACGGCUUUAAGUCACUCAGGCCAGUACCCAAGAACCCAACACUGUGCUGGGCCUUGGGGUGGUUCUGGGGUAGCGUGAGGGUAAGGAAUGCUAGAGAGGUAUGGCAGAGAGAACCCGAGAGAAGGCGUUAGGACAUGCAAUGAGGUCCCAUUUCCCACUGAUUCCUAACUUUAUUUUUCUGCCAAAUUAAAGGAAACAUAUCUUCCUCAUAUGGUGGAGAAGUAACUGAGACAUAAGAUAAGAAAAGUCUAAAGCCCAAUAUAAAUAUAAGGGUUUGAACUCAUCUGACCUGGGUCUGUGUGGGCUAAGCUGCUCCAAGCUGGGCUAGACAUGGGAUAGGAAGCAGUUUAACUUGCCCUUUUCUCCUGUGGGCCUAGAAGUCCCUGGAUUAGAUGAUGCUGUGGAGCCCACUGUGGGAGAAGGGGAGGGGAGAAGAGCAUGGCUUGAAGUCUGAAUCCUGGAGCCCAGGUUCAGGUCUCCAUCAACCUGAACAACAUCUCUGAGUCCCCACUUCCUCAUCUGCAAGAUGAGAAUUCUAAUUCCACCUCACACACUUAGGGAUAGAAUCAAAUGCAAUACUAAGCCCAAAGUCACUGUAUAAAGUACAAUACAAAUGUGGUUAUUAAUAUCCUAUCAUUAAUAUCUUGGUGUUUCUUAUAGCAUAAUGGAUUUCCAAAGGGAGAGCAUUAGCAAGAUAAAAUAGCCUCAGAAGGAACCAAAGAAACUAAAUUUUGUACACUAAGGUAGUAUAAAUUCAGUACAUUUUAAAGCUUAGUUUCUAUUUAAGAUCAUUUAAAAAUCAGUUUCUAUUAAAAUUCAGAAGCAUUUCUAAGUGCUGGGAAAGACUCUCUCCCUGCUCUUUGCCAUUGCUAAAUUAGCCUGCCUCUGGAGGAGAAGGCCCUUUUCCCUUCCUGCCCCACUAGUGCAGGACUCUUUGGGUGAACUCCCUCCCCUUGCCCCUGAGCAGUUGGGUGGGAGUGUGGUAAGCCUCUGGUUAUACUUUAAAAAUAGUGUUGAGAGAGAGGCAGGCAGGCAGGGAGGCUCACCGGACAGGAAGGACAGGUUUUCCUGCCUUCCCUCCCCACCUGCCCCACACCCAGUCACUUUGUCACCCCAGGGGAGCUGUCAGCCCAGCCCCACAAAUUAGAGGGUGCUGCAUGGCCCUGGCCCCACACAGUGUUUCCAUGAGAACCUCUCCUUCCCCUGAUUUUCCCUUUUCUCCUGGGGCCUCCUCGCACGUAGAAAGAAACCCCUGCUCCUAGCCCUGUUCCUGUAUCUAGACCCUGGCAGCCUCAGUCACUCAUCCAGACAUUAGCUAGGAGCUGGCAGUGCCGAGAAUGGCUCUGGAGGGGAGGACAGGGGGCCAGGGUUGGCACCUGGGCCACUCGGGCAAGCCUGAGAUGUGGGUGCAGGCUUUGCUUGGUGCUCCCAGUGGCCCUGGCCUGGCCUCUCCUAGGAUCCAGAGGGAUCCUGGACCCUGGAAGGGUCCCAGGCCCCAGGAAGGGAAACAGUCAGACCUCUGGCUUCCCCGUGGUGGCAUCUGAACCCAUGGCAUUGCCCUCUUCCAGACAUGCCUUGGAUCCCUUGACUCUGCCUCACCCUUAACCCCUGGUCAGCUCCUUCCCAGUGGCCAGCACUACCCCUCCACUGGGCGCAGACAUGGCUGCAUCUUGCUCGAAAAUUAUUCAUAGGGAUGCAUACCUCCUGCCUGUCCUGCCAGACCCCCCACAGACCUCAAUUAAUGCAGCCCAGCUGAUUGAGCAUUUGUCUUCUGAUGGAUUGAAUGACAAACCAGCCCUAUGAGGUCUCAGCUUGUCCUCCAUCAUCUCUGGCCUGAGGAGUUACCAGGGUUUUGGGAGCUCUGGGCUUCAUGGAAAGAGAAAAAAAAGGUACAGUAAAUGCUCUGGGACUGUCCAAGCCUGAGGACCGGAGAGCACGGCGUCUCGGAAUCAGACUGACGUGGUCGGCCUCCCAGCUCUGUAAUUCAUCCUAUAGCCUUGGACAAAUCCAUUAACUUUUCUUGAUAUAAAUUUCCUUAUCUGGGGCCGGGCACGGGGGCUCACGCCUGUAAUCCCAGCACUUUGGGAGGCUGAGGCAGGCGGAUCAUGAGGUAGGGAGAUCAAGGCCAUCCUGGCUAACGUGGUGAAACCCCGUCUCUACCAAAAAUACAAAAAAAUUAGCCGGGCGUGGUGGUGGGCGCCUGUAGUCCCAGCUACUCCAGGAGGCUGAGGCAGGAGAAUGGCGUGAACCCAGGAGGCGGAGCUUGCAGUGAGCUGAGAUCGCGCCACUAUACUCCAGCCUGGGCGACAGAGUGAGACUCCAUCUCAAAAAAAAAAAAAAAAAAAAAAAAUUCCUUAUCUGUAAAAUGGGGAUGAAGUUACCCACUUCAGAGGGUGCUGUAAGGAUUAAAUGAUCUCCAAGGCCUCUACAGUGUUCAGACACACAAAUCACCUACAGCACCACUCAAAGUGUAUGUGCAGAUGGGGUCUGGCUUCUUGCAUUUUGUUGUUGUUGUUUAGUUGAUUGUUUUCUGCAUUGUGCAUGUGUGUGGUUAAACAAAAUGCCCUAUCACUGAGAUCUGGCCUGCAGGGCCAGGGCUGGACACAGAUAACACUGCUGGAGGAACACUAAAACCUUUCUUGAUGUGCCACAGGCUUUUAUUUCUCUUAUUUCUCACUAAGGACAGGAAAGCUUUCAUCAGCAACAUCAACAACAACACAACAAACACGUGGACACCUCCCCAGGGGUUUCUGUUGAUCCUGAAUCCUCCCACCCACCCACCCCCACCAAUUGCCUUAGAGAUGUGGGGCCACCAGGCUUGAAGCUCAUCUGACUUCCAGAGGUUGAGGAGUGAGAAUUCCUUGCACCAGGGGCUGCCUCAGCAGUGAAGCCACGGGAAAUAAUCUUCACUCUGUCAGUGGGGCUGCUGGUGACCAGCAACAUCCACUUAAAAGCUGUCGAUCAGGGCCUCUGAGCAUUCCUGGCCUGGGAAUGGAGGGGAAGAAUCUGGCUAGCUCUAGGGUUACACAGCUGAGUCUGGCCUCAUUAACCAAAUUAGCUAACCAGCCGCUGUGCAAGCGACGUCUCAGAAGCCCCAAUGUUCAUGGAGGAAAUUAACUCAAAUUAUUAUUAUACACACCCCACAUAAUCAAUUGCAUUUAAGCAGGUGUCCAUAUACAAAGGAGGAGGGAAAUCACCACAGACUUAGCUUUUGUAUAGCCCUUUGUUCUUUAAAAGUAACUUUUUAAACAGUCUAUCACUGAUUCCUACCUCGUUUCUCUGACAUCAACAACACAGAUGUUACUAUCAGCAUUUAGUUAGAGACUAAGUGGCGUAUCCAAGAUCACACAGCAUAUUGAGGGAUCCAGGGCUCCUCUCUCUUAGUCCAUUUUUCUUUUUUGUUUGGUUUUCUCUUCUCUCAUAGGCUAUUUUGUACACAUCAGCCAGAGUCAUCUUUUAAACCUCAAAUGAGACCAUGUCACUCCUGGCUCACACUCUCUGUGGCUUCCCAAUAGAGAGAGCACAGUCCAGGUGGCUCACCUUCUUUAAGCUGCUUUCCUCCCCAUCUCUCACACCAGGCUGCCAUCAUGCUUCUCCCCCACUGACUCUCCACAGCCUGGCUCCUUCUCAAUCCAGGGCUUCCUUGUCCUCCAAAUCACUCUGUCCCACUGCCUGCUUUUUGCUCUCUGGAAUCAUCUCAUUUAUCUGUUUACGUGUUUGUUUCCUGCCUCCCAUCAGCAGAUCAUCAAUUCCAUGGCGUCAGGGACUUUGUUUUGUUGAUGCUGCAUCCCCAGUACCUAGAUUAGUACCUGGCACUUAGAGGGUAAUUAAUGAAGAGCUUUUUGAAUGAAUGGAUAUUGCACUGUAUUGAUAAAAGAAAGAGAGAAAAGUCCUGGGAGAGAGUGAAGGAAAAGAAGUUAUUAAUGAUGGGAAACAAUAUGCCCAAUAUGAGUGAAUAGCUGCUAUGAGAGAUUGCACAAGCUCUGCUGGGUCACCCCGUCCCCACUGAUCUAAGACUCCUGAGCCCUAGGCUCACUCCCCACCUCCAAUCUGACCAACAAGCCAAAGCCAGCAGUAACUCCAGAGCGGACUUUGACUCUAAAUGUGGCCUUAACCCUAGGCCUGACUGUGUAAACAACACCUUCUUCUAACUUUAAUCCUGUCCCUAAUAACCACCUUAACUUGGCACUCUAAUCUCAAUGACAAACCCAAAUCCAUAAGCACAGUCCCCUCUACUCGAUGGACCAAUUCUAGAUAUAAGAUCCAGCAGGUCAGACUGUCAUCCCAGUCCUGCCACACUGAACCUUAACUAGAUCUGCAUCAGUUUCCCUGAGUGGAAACUGAUGGGGGAGGUAUGGACUAAAAUUGGAGACACUGAAAGCUAGAAAAGACCUUAGAGAUCAUCUAAUUUCUUCCCUUUGGGGAUAAUAUACAAUGAAUACAUGCCAUCAUGUAUUUUCUAUGUGUCCCGUUGGUUCUUUCUUUCCUUUUUCUUGCCAUAUUUUGGAUCAAUCAAGUAUUAGUAUUCCAUUUUGCCUCCUCCAUUUGCAUUUUAGCUAAAUCUCUUUGUUUAACUUUUGUGUUUAUUUUAGGGGUUAUAAUAGGUAUCUUAAACUUUUCAUAGUCUACAUUGAAAUCACAUGAAAGAAUUUAAACCAGUGUCAUUCCCUUUUAUAACCCCCAUCUUUUGUUCUACUGUUAUCGUAUACCUAAGUACUGUGUAUGUCAUAAGCCCCACUAUUAUUGUUGUUGUUGUUAUUGCUUUAGAUAAUUAUGUCUUAAAGACAUUAAGAAUUGAAUAGAGUAUGUUUUUUAAAGUUACCGCUGUAUUUAAUAAUUUCUGAUGCUCUUCAUUCAUUUCUGUAGGUCAUGUUUCUGUUUUAUUUGCCUUCAACCUGCAGAACUUCGCAAUUCUCUUCCCCCUCCAGGGACACUGCAGCUUUUCUACCCUUCCAUUGCGGCUUCCAUACAGCCUCCAAAACCUGCAAGUUUCCAACCAUUUCCCACAGUGCAGUUAAAUCCCAAGAUAAAUUUUUAGGCAUUUCCAAACUCCCUAAGGACAGGCCCAGGUGGAGCCAUGAAAGAGAAGAGAGGGCAGGUAACCAGGAGCCUCUCCUCUUCCUCCUUCCUACGUCACCUUCCCUAUACUCCCCAAAGGGGACCUCUCUGACACUGCAAUGCAAGAUUAAACUACUGGAUGAUGAUGAUGAUGAUGAUGAUGAUUUACCUCCUUUCCUUCCUGGGCCAGGGAGGAGAGCAUCAAGCUCUUUGCAGCAGCAGUCUGAUCCCCUUCAGUUAUCCUCAGGUAUUUACUAAGCCCCCUCCUCAGUGCAGCCCCUCUACUAGGGGAAGAGAAAGGCAGAAGUGGA